ACAAAUUUUCUAGAAGAUGACGG
rnacentral:snRNA from 1 species